rnacentral:lncRNA from 1 species
UCUUUAGCCUUGAAACUAGUGGAAAAUGCUUCAAUACCUUCUGAGGAACGCGGUUUUUUGUUGUCUGCAUCUUUCCAUCUUGAAUCCACUUGGCAACACACUGUGCACACAUCAUAUUUUGCUAGCGUCUUGUGAAACAAUACACAAUUAUUCUUGCAAACAUGGAUAGAUUCAUAGCUGAGUACCAUGGCACGUAUGUACUUCAUUGCAUCAUCAUAAGAUGUCGGAACACAUGCUCCUGGGAAAGCAACAGAUAACACCUUCAGAAUUUCAUUGAAUGCGACAUUGCUGAUCUGAUAGAAAGAGUUGAUAUGAAGUAACUUCACAAAAAAUGUAAAUUGUGUAUAUUUAGAUCCUUGGUGCCUUCAUCCUCCUCCAUAACCGAUAUGUGUUCGUUUUCCUGAACCAUUUUCUGAUCACCAUCUUCAUGCAGAAUUGCAUUAUCCUCAACCCCCUCAUCCGGCAGAAUUGUAAUUUCCUUAACCCAUCAUCCCGCAGAAUUGCAUUUUCCUGAACCCUAUCCUCGAAUGUUUCUCCAUGAUGGAUCCACCUAGUGUAGGUGCUUGCCAUCCCAUUUCAAAGUAAGUAGUUGUUCACCACUUCUACAGUACAUCUAGACUAAUUCAAGC